rnacentral:rRNA from 1 species
CUUUACCUAGCGGCGGACGGGUGAGUAAUGCUUAGGAAUCUGCCUAUUAGUGGGGGACAACAUUCCGAAAGGGAUGCUAAUACCGCAUACGUCCUACGGGAGAAAGCAGGGGACCUUCGGGCCUUGCGCUAAUAGAUGAGCCUAAGUCAGAUUAGCUAGUUGGUGGGGUAAAGGCCUACCAAGGCGACGAUCUGUAGCGGGUCUGAGAGGAUGAUCCGCCACACUGGGACUGAGACACGGCCCAGACUCCUACGGGAGGCAGCAGUGGGGAAUAUUGGACAAUGGGCGAAAGCCUGAUCCAGCCAUGCCGCGUGUGUGAAGAAGGCCUUUUGGUUGUAAAGCACUUUAAGCGAGGAGGAGGCUACUGAGAUUAAUACUCUUGGAUAGUGGACGUUACUCGCAGAAUAAGCACCGGCUAACUCUGUGCCAGCAGCCGCGGUAAUACAGAGGGUGCGAGCGUUAAUCGGAUUUACUGGGCGUAAAGCGUGCGUAGGCGGCUUUUUAAGUCGGAUGUGAAAUCCCUGAGCUUAACUUAGGA